UACGUAGGGUGCGAGCGUUGUCCGGAAUUAUUGGGCGUAAAGAGCUCGUAGGCGGCCUGUCGCGUCGGAUGUGAAAGCCCGGGGCUUAACCCCGGGUCUGCAUUCGAUACGGGCAGGCUAGAGUGUGGUAGGGGAGAUCGGGAUUCCUGGUGUAGCGGUGAAAUGCGCAGAUAUCAGGAGGAACACCGGUGGCGAAGGCGGAUCUCUGGGCCAUUACUGACGCUGAGGAGCGAAAGCGUGGGGAGCGAACAGG
rnacentral:rRNA from 1 species